rnacentral:rRNA from 1 species
AGUGAACGCUGGCGGUAGGCCUAACACAUGCAAGUCGAACGGCAGCACAGUAAGAGCUUGCUCUUACGGGUGGCGAGUGGCGGACGGGUGAGGAAUACAUCGGAAUCUACUUUUUCGUGGGGGAUAACGUAGGGAAACUUACGCUAAUACCGCAUACGACCUACGGGUGAAAGCAGGGGAUCUUCGGACCUUGCGCGAUUGAAUGAGCCGAUGUCGGAUUAGCUAGUUGGCGGGGUAGAGGCCCACCAAGGCGACGAUCCGUAGCUGGUCUGAGAGGAUGAUCAGCCACACUGGAACUGAGACACGGUCGAGACUCCUACGGGAGGCAGCAGUGGGGAAUAUUGGACAAUGGGCGCAAGCCUGAUCCAGCCAUACCGCGUGGGUGAAGAAGGCCUUCGGGUUGUAAAGCCCUUUUGUUGGGAAAGAAAAGCAGCAGGUUAAUACCCCGCUGUUCUGACGGUACCCAAAGAAUAAGCACCGGCUAACUUCGUG